rnacentral:misc_RNA from 1 species
AAGUCGUAACAAGGUCUCCGUUGGUGAACCAGCGGAGGGAUCAUUACCGAGUUGUCCUCUGUGACACUCCCUUCAUACCCCUUGUGAACCUACCAUCGUUGCCUCGGCGGGCUGCCUCACAGCGUCCGCCGGCGGCCCAUUUCUAAAAUUCUGUAUAUUUUGAAAACCUAAUUCUGAACCUAUAACAAAUUUAUGUUAAAACUUUCAACAACGGAUCUCUUGGUUCUG